UACGUAGGGCGCAAGCGUUGUCCGGAAUUAUUGGGCGUAAAGAGCUCGUAGGCGGUUUGUCGCGUCUGCUGUGAAAACCUGAGGCUCAACCUCGGGCUUGCAGUGGGUACGGGCAGACUAGAGUGCGGUAGGGGUGACUGGAAUUCCUGGUGUAGCGGUGGAAUGCGCAGAUAUCAGGAGGAACACCGAUGGCGAAGGCAGGU
rnacentral:rRNA from 1 species